GGGAGAAGAAAUUCUUAUUGUUGAGAGAGAGAGACAGAGAGAGAUCAGAAACAAAGAUGGCUACAAAAGAAAAAGAAGCUUUGCAUCAAGAGAAGCCAGCAAAAGACAGCCCAGCAGAUCCAGCUCAGCUUGUUGGUCAAGUUAGCCAUGAUAAGCUCUGUGAUACCAUGCAUGAGAAGUAUCAGAAUGUUGAUGAGAUAGAGGAUGAACUCUUUUCUAUUUCUGCAACAGAGCAUGAGAGUAUCCCUGAACACCCAAAAUGAAGAUUUUUCAAAGAUCCUCCUCCAACAGCUACUGGUGUCUUUUAGCUUGUAAAGGAAUCCUAAAAAGCAUAGUAAAGUCUUCCUUUUUCUCAUUUUUUGUCUUCCCCCUUUUCUUCUUAUCUAACUAGCCAGUUUUGUGAUUUUAUUUUUCUUAAAUAAUAUAGAUUAAUUCUUGAAUCAAAA